AACGAACGCUGGCGGCAUGCCUAACACAUGCAAGUCGAACGAGACCUUCGUGUCUAGUGGCGCACGGGUGCGUACCGCGUGGGAACCUGCCCUUAGGUUCGGAAUAACUCCCCGAAAGGGGUGCUAAUACCGGAUAAUGUCUUCGGACCAAAGAUUUAUCGCCUUUGGAUGGGCCCGCGUUGGAUUCGCUAGUUGGUAGGGUAAAAGCAUACCAAGGCCACGAUGCAUAGCUGGUCGGAGAGGAUGAUCAGCCACACUGGGACUGAGACACGGCCCAGACUCCUACGGGAGGCAGCAGUGGGGAAUAUUGGACAAUGGGCGAAAGCCUGAUACAGCAAUGCCGCGUGAGUGAUGAAGGCCUUAGGGUUGUAAAGCUCUUUUACCCGGGAUGAUAAUGACAGUACCGGGAGAAUAAGCUCCGACUAACUACGUG
rnacentral:rRNA from 1 species